rnacentral:rRNA from 1 species
GAUGAACGCUAGCGGCAGGCCUAAUACAUGCAAGUCGAACGGUGUCUUCGGACAUAGUGGCGCACGGGUGCGUAACACGUAUGCAACCUACCUUACAUUGGGGGAUAGCCUUUCGAAAGGGAGAUUAAUACCGCAUAAGACAGUAGCUGGGCAUCCAGCAGCUGUUAAAGAUUUAUCGAUGUAAGCUGGGCAUGCGUCCAAUUAGCUAGUUGGUGAGGUAACGGCUCACCAAGGCAAUGAUUGGUAGGGGAACUGAGAGGUCAAUCCCCCACACUGGCACUGAGAUACGGGCCAGACUCCUACGGGAGGCAGCAGUGGGGAAUUUUGGACAAUGGGCGAAAGCCUGAUCCAGCCAUUCCGCGUGCAGGAUGAAGGCCCUCGGGUUGUAAACUGCUUUUGUACAGAACGAAAAGGUUUCUACUAAUACUAGGAGCUCAUGACGGUACUGUAAGAAUAAGCACCGGCUAACUACGUGCCAGCAGCCGCCGUAAUAC